rnacentral:lncRNA from 1 species
GGUAGUCAGGGGAUGGGCCUCUAGUGGUCACGAGAGGAUGGUCCACUUGUCGGUGUCGAUUUCAUACUGGCCAUUUGAUUAUUGAUAUUGAUAUUAUGCAGAGCUCUAUCCGGUGCAUAGUAGGUAGGUCAAGGGCCCAAUGAAAUGAAAGAUUUCAAGUGAAAUGAUUUCUAGUCGACUUUGACGAAUAUUGAAAUAUGAUACUUUUUAUCAUGAUAUUUAAAGUAAAUGGCAUGGUGUCAUAUGUCGUUAUUACUCAUGUUCAGGACAUGCAUGAUUUUGCUUACUAAGCAUUGGCU